rnacentral:rRNA from 1 species
GAUGAACGCUGGCGGCGUGCCUAAUACAUGCAAGUCGAGCGAACAGACGAGGAGCUUGCUCCUCUGACGUUAGCGGCGGACGGGUGAGUAACACGUGGAUAACCUACCUAUAAGACUGGGAUAACUUCGGGAAACCGGAGCUAAUACCGGAUAAUAUAUUGAACCGCAUGGUUCAAUAGUGAAAGACGGUUUUGCUGUCACUUAUAGAUGGAUCCGCGCCGCAUUAGCUAGUUGGUAAGGUAACGGCUUACCAAGGCAACGAUGCGUAGCCGACCUGAGAGGGUGAUCGGCCACCCUGGAACUGAGACACGGUCCAGACUCCUACGGGAGGCAGCAGUAGGGAAUCUUCCGCAAUGGGCGAAAGCCUGACGGAGCAACGCCGCGUGAGUGAUGAAGGUCUUCGGAUCGUACAACUCUGUUAUUAGGGAAGAACAAAUGUGUAAGUAACUAUGCACGUCUUGACGGUACCUAAUCAGAAAGCCACGGCUAACUACGUG